rnacentral:rRNA from 1 species
CCNNUUGAUCCUGCCGGACCUGACUGCUAUCGGAUUGGUACUAANCCAUGCGAGUCAUUGUAGCAAUACAAGGCGGACGGCUCAGUAACACGUAGUCAACCUAACUCGUGGACGUGGAUAACCUCGGGAAACUGAGAAUAAACCGCGAUAGACCAUAGUGCCUGGAAUGGCCUAUGAUCAAAAUAGUUUACUGCCAUGGGAUGGGACUGCGGCCUAUCAGCUUGUUGGUGAGGUAAUGGCCCACCAAGGCGAUUACAGGUACGGGCUCUGAGAGGAGAAGCCCGGAGAUGGGUACUGGGACACGGACCCAGGCCCUAUGGGGCGCAGCAGGCGAGAAACCUUAGCAAUGUGCGAAAGCACGACUGGGUCAGUCCGAGUGAUUCCUGAUGAAGGAGUCUUUUGCUUGUCCUAAAAGCACAGGUGAAUAAGGGGUGGGCAAGUCUGGUGUCAGCCGCCGCGGUAAUACCAGCACCUCGAGUGGUCAGGACGUUUAUUGGGCCUAAAGCAUCCGUAGCCGGCGCUGCAAGUCUUCGGUUAAAUCCAUCUGCUUAACAGAUGGGCCGCUGGAGAUACUACAGCGCUAGGGAGUG